ACAGGAGGAUUUUUGCAGAGCUUCCAUCCAGUUCAGAAACAAAGCAAUUCAAUACAUGUCUUCAAGAUUUCUAAAGGCAAUGACUUAGUAAGUAAUGUUCUUCCCAUAUCAUCCUCUAUGUCCUUUUAUUCUGCUUUAUUUGAUACAUUUUUAAAAAUGUCUGUGUGAAAACAAUGUUUUAGCUAUCUUUGUUCAAGUAGGCUUGCUUAAUUGGGACAAAGAAGAUCCUAUUUGAAUCAUAAGUCAGCCAGGAAUACUUUCGUGUUUUCAGAUGUUCUGUUUUCACCAUUUAUCUGAGCACACAUUUUAGAUUAUGUGCCUCAGCCGUCAGAUACAGACAAUCAGGAGAGCCACAAAGAGCCAUCUAAAGAGGGAAGAAAACACAAUAGAUGGGAUAUGGGAAAAAAUAUAUAACUAGAACAUCUAAAUGAGUGAGGAGGAUGCUGAAAGCAUUAAUGCAGGGAAAAUACCAGCACACGGGCUCCUUUAUCUCCCUGCUCUUGUGGUUUCAUUUAGUACAUGUCCCUUUUCCUCCUGAGAGCAGAGAGCAAAGCAAAUGAGACUUUAUAGGAUUCCAUUGCAUGUGCACUG
rnacentral:lncRNA from 1 species